UCCUGAGAUGUUAGGGUCCUGACGUC
rnacentral:sRNA from 1 species